CUCCCGGAGGCUGACACAUGGGGUGUGGCGCCAGCAGGCUGUGGACCAGCCCAGUGAUCCAAGGCAAACACGGUCAGCUUCCUGGGGACCAGCCCAACGAGUCCCCACACCUUCCUGGGCAUCACCCAGGGGCCAGCCAAAGGUGCUGAAAUGGCAGGUCCUGUUGCUGCAACGUGCUCGGGGACCUGGAGCUUCCCCGUGCCGCAGCCCGCAUCUGCGGAGUUGGCAAAGCGUCCCUCCACUCUGUGACACGGCCCUGGGCACGCACCGACCCCAGCUCACUGAUGGAGGCUCGGAGGCCCUCGCUGAGGCUCGCUGCUGCCGUGUGACGUUGCAGGGACUGGGUCCCAGGAGGGUUGACCGCACUGCUUUUCAUCGAGACCAUCACUUUGGAAAAACGCAUCUCCUUGGGUCUAUCACUCCUUCUUCUGGACUCCAUUCCUGGCUCUGACUGUGGGGACCCGGGAAGAGCUCGCAGAAUCGUGGGAGCAGACGAAUGGUGCUGUGAGAUUCAGAAGUGAAGACGUUUAAACCGGGUUUGGGGGAGUAAAGGGGGGAAUUCCCAAGCAAAGGAGGAAAAUGCUCCAGACAGAAUUCAAGGUACAGACAAUCUGGAAACUCCAGCAGGUAAUAAACGGGAGGAAACAACGUUGCUCUCAUCUCGCACGCGGUGCAAGUGUUUAUCACCGCAACAUUCUGUUCUAGGCAUGGAUGGAUAGGCGGAUAUUUUACAAAAGGAAUAACUGGAGUUUUUAACGUAACAUCAGUAAUUCUUUAUGAUUCUGGGGGCACCUGGGUGGCUCAGUGGGUUAAAGCCUCUGCCUUCGGCUCAGGUCAUGAUCCCAGCAUCCUGGGAUGGAGGCCCACCUUGGGUUCUCUGCUCGGCCAGAAGCCUGCUUCCCCCUUUCUCUCUGCCUGCCUCUCUGCCUACUUGUGAUCUCUGUUUGUCAAAUAAAUAAA